rnacentral:rRNA from 1 species
GGCAUGCAGUCGGGGGAUCCCAGCAAUGGGGGAACCGGCGUAAGGGGCAGUAAGGCGUGGGUACCUACCCCGGGGUCCGGGAUAGCCGUCCGAGAGGGCGGGUAAUACCGGAUGACCUCGGGAGAGCAAAGGCUUGCCGCCCUGGGCGGGGCCCACGUGGUAUUAGCUGGUUGGUGGGGUGACGGCCCACCAAGGCGGAGAUGCCUAGCGGGUGUGAGAGCACGACCCGCGCCACUGGCACUGAGACACUGGCCAGACACCUACGGGUGGCUGCAGUCGAGGAUCUUCGGCAAUGGGCGCAAGCCCGACCGAGCGACGCCGCGUGUGCGACGAAGGCCUUCGGGUUGUAAAGCACUGUCGAGGGGGAGAAAAGCCGAAAGGUUUGAUCUAACCCUGGAGGAAGCACGGGCUAAGUUCGUGCCAGCAGCCGCGGUAAGACGAACCGUGCGAACGUUGUUCGGAAUCACUGGGCUUAAAGGGCGCGUAGGCGGGCUGCCAAGUCCGUGGUGAAAUCCCCCGGCUCAACCGGGGAACGGCCAUGGAUACUGGCGGCCUCGAGGCGGGUAGGGGCGUGCGGAACUGUGGGUGGAGCGGUGAAAUGCGUUGAGAUCCACAGGAACUCCGGUGGCGAAGGCGGCACGCUGGACCCGAUCUGACGCUGAGGCGCGAAAGCCAGGGGAGCGAACGGGAUUAGAUACCCCGGUAGUCCUGGCCCUAAACGAUGGGGACUAGUAGUAGCCCGGACAUGGGGUUACUGCCGGAGCCAAAGUGCUAAGUCCCCCGCCUGGGGAGUAUGGUCGCAAGGCUGAAACUCAAAGGAAUGACGGGGGCUCACACAAGCGGUGGAGCAUGUGGCUC